rnacentral:lncRNA from 1 species
UCUGGAGUUUAGCAGCAACAGGUAUCUUUUCUUCUAUAGUUAUUUAGGGCUAAGACUUUUGAUUUGGAGCUAAAGGAUUCAACCAAUUUGGGGAUGCGACUGUUGAAUUUAGGUGAUUUUCAGCAUGCAGAUUUUCAUCUCAUGAACAUACGCAGUGGAAGAGUAAGAUUAAAGCUAUUUUAAUCCUAAACAUGCCUGGA